GCCUGGCUAGCUCAGUCAGUAGAGCAUGUGACUCUUGAUCUUGGGGUUGUGAGUUCGAGCCCUACACUGGGUA
rnacentral:tRNA from 1 species